rnacentral:rRNA from 1 species
AUUGAACGCUGGCGGCAGGCCUAACACAUGCAAGUCGAACGGUAGCACAGAGAGCUUGCUCUCGGGUGACGAGUGGCGGACGGGUGAGUAACGUCUGGGAAACUGCCCGAUGGAGGGGGAUAACUACUGGAAACGGUAGCUAAUACCGCAUAACGUCGCAAGACCAAAGUGGGGGACCGUCGGGCCUCACACCAUCGAAUGUGCCCAGAUGGGAUUAGCUAGUAGGUGGGGUAAUGGCUCACCUAGGCGACGAUCCCUAGCUGGUCUGAGAGGAUGACAAGCCAAACUGGAACUGAGACACGGUCCAGACUCCUACGGGAGGCAGCAGUGGGGAAUAUUGCACAAUGGGCGCAAGCCUGAUGCAGCCAUGCCGCGUGUAUGAAGAAGGCCUUCGGGUUGUAAAGUACUUUCAGCGGGGAGGAAGGCGGUGAAGUUAAUAGCUUCACCGAUUGACGUUACCCGCAGAAGAAGCACCGGCUAACUCCGUGCCAGCCGCCGCCGUAA